UACGGAGGAUCCAAGCGUUAUCCGGAUUUAUUGGGUUUAAAGGGUGCGUAGGCGAUUGAUAAGUUAGAGGUGAAAUGUCCGAGCUCAACUCGGGAAUUGCCUCUAAUACUGUUGAUCUAGAGAGUAGAUGCGGUAGGCGGAAUGUAUGGUGUAGCGGUGAAAUGCUUAGAGAUCAUACAGAACACCGAUUGCGAAGGCAGCUUACCAAUCUAUAUCUGACGUUGAGGCACGAAAGCGUGGGGAGCAAACAGG
rnacentral:rRNA from 1 species